AAAUUCAUAUGAAUGAUGAUGACAUAUGACAUUACUUAAAUUUAACUUAUUUUUAGGGAUCGCUCACGUGAACGACAUCGUGAAAGCAAAGAGCGUGAUGUUGGUUACCGUGAACGCUCUAGAAGUCGCGAACGUGAACGUCAAGUUCCUGACCAUUACAGAGAUGAUAGCUCAAGCCGUUCAGCACGUCCACGUAAGUCUCCAGAACAAGUCGUAGAAGCAUCCGGCGAAGCACCAACAAAACGAGGUUACUACGAGGAACGUUACCGUUCAUCUGAUCGAGAUCGUGAUCGUGACCGCGAAAGAGAACGUGAUCGUAGAGAAGAGCAUCGUUCACGACAUUAAUUAGAAUAUGACCGUACAUUACAUAAAAAGAAAUAAUCAUUAAAAUAAAUCAACAUAAUAUUUAAAUAUAUGCAAUUAUAAAAAUUUACAUAUUAAUAUUCCUUAUUAGCUUAUUAAAAGCACAAGGAAUAAGAAUUAAUAAUUCAAUUAAUAACACUAGAGCCUAACAAAAGUUUUCAUAAUACGAUUAGAUGAAUAAAAUUAUUUAUGGACGUCUAUAGAAAACAUUUAAGGAAAUGUAUAUACAUACUUCAAGCUUUCAAAUCAAUUAUGAAACUAAUUAAAUCGCAAAUAUACGUAUUUAUUUCAUAACCAGUGUUGAAGGAGACAGCCGAAACUGCUUACGGAUCCAGCAAUAAUAUACACAACUAUAUAUAUUCAUCGCAAAUGCUAAACAUAGCAACAAGCAAUAUACAGCGCGUGCGCUUAACCAACACAUGAAGAUUGUAUAUUACAUUUCGGUUUAUUUAAUAAAAAUAUAAUUAAAAGAAUGUUAAAAAACUAAA